UACGUAGGUGGCAAGCGUUGCCCGGAUUUAUUGGGCUUAAAGGGUGCGUAGGCGGCCCUGUAAGUCAGUGCUGAAAUAUCCCAGCUUAACUGGGAGGGUGGCAUUGAUACUGCGGGGCUAGAGUACAGAUGAGGUAGGCGGAAUUGACGGUGUAGCGGUGAAAUGCUUAGAUAUCGUCAAGAACACCUAUAGCGAAGGCAGCUUACUAGGCUGUAACUGACGCUGAGGCACGAAAGUGUGGGGAUCAAACAGG
rnacentral:rRNA from 1 species